CAAUUCAUUUACUACUAACUAGUUAAGACUAUUUGACCAAGGAUUGCAACCAUAUUCCUCUUGUUUGGCAAAUCUCCUGGAUUGUCCUGGUUUUUGAUCUUGUGUGGGUGCCAUGUAAAUAUUCCUGAAGCCCGAUUAUCUUUUUAUCACUCACAAAUAUCAAAUAUUGCACUUCCAGGCUGUUCCGCAGCAGAGGGCGAACAUCACAUUGUUUCUCCAAAAGAAGAGAAGAGAAGAAAAUAGAAAUAUACAGCCGUCAGCUGCAUCUGCUUUAUGCCCUCGAGUCAAAUAUAGUUAAUGAUAC
rnacentral:sRNA from 2 species